GAUGUGAUUAUGUUCACUGAGAAGUCAGCAACCCUGUCUGCUUGAAGUCUGUGCUGUAUUUUGUUAUGAAUAACUGUCAGGAAACAAGGCAGACUGGAAAACACACAGAAGGAAAAGCUACUCUUCAUCUUGCAGCAACAGAGAGCAAACCCCCAAAGGAACAUUUUUCAAGUGCAUGGGAGAGAGUCCAUGUCCCUACUACAGUGUGGCAGCCUCUGUCCUGUAUGACCUGAACCAGACUCAGAGCUGCUGUUGCUAAGCACCAUGACCACCUUGCAAGCCGGUUUCCAGAGGCCCAUCUUCUGCAACUCUUCUCACGCCACAGACCUGAGUAUCAAGAAGAAAUCUGAGCCUCAUUUUCCUAAGUUCCACUUAACGAAAUGAAGAUGAAAUGAAAUAAUCCACUUGA